CAUAGAUCAGAAGAAACUAUUCACUCCUCAUUUCACUUCAUAGCACCUUGUCAAGGAACUGCGGAAACUUCCAAGUCUGUAAACCCUGUACAUCUUUCUAGAUCUGGAGGGAGAGAAUAGAGGCUUUGUGCCGUGAAGAGAAUGGGCUUUCUGAUAGGGAAGGGGGUUUAGUUUCCAGCACAUCUGAGGAUUAACUGCCAGUGUUUUGCACAGCCAUGCUAUUUUGUACCAGGCGGCUGGAUGAUUGGUUUUCACACACACACACCCCCAGGCUCGAUGGGGAAGAAAUAUUUUGUUUCGAUCUUCCUAUCUGCCUCCCUCGCGGUGCACCGCCCCGCUUGCCGAGCACUCAUCGAUGGUGAACCGACCGGGCUUCCCUAAUCAUAGGCAAAUUAGCGGAUGACCUGUCCGACCGUCCCCUCGCAGGACGCUACCACAAAGGUCCUGUCCUUCCAACCGGCGCCUCCCCGCCCAGGUGGAACCGUGGGCGGAAGGGAAGUGGGUGUAUCUCUUCCCUGCUGCAGGGGACUAAUGCCUGGGAGCCCGGAGAAUACCUGGGGCUCGGUUUUGCAGCUGUUGCCCUGAGGGGGUCAGUCGGGGGCAGCGGCGCACGAGAGAGGCGAGAGGGGGCUGCUCAGCUGGAAACGGAGCAGCUUUCCCUUGUCCGCCCGGAUCAAGCUCAGAGCCAGGAUUAAACCAGCCGCGGCGGCGGCACGUGUGGCCGAGUGAAACCCACCAGCGCCCCGCAGAGCGCGCCAGGGAAGGGAGCGCACAGCCGCAAAGGAGACCCGCCAGACGCAGCGGGCCUGGGGGUGACCAUUGCACCGCUCCCCCGAUCCCCUCCAGCCCGGGGGGACCCCGGAGCAGAGAACCCAGGCGCCCGAGGGGAAGAGACCCGGCCGGGCGGCCCCCUGACCUCUCCGGAUCCUGCGACCAGCUGUUGACGGACUUGCAAGCGCAGGGGGAGGGCGGCUGCCUGCGGACCCGGCGCCGCCGGCCGAAAGGGGCGAGCGGGCGCUGAAGGACGGACUGGCUCCCUUCGCCCAGGCUCCUCCCUGAGCCGGAUCGGCCGAGGAGCCGGGGCCAGGAGGCGGCUGGGACAUCGCCCCGGCGGGGCUGGGCUGGUGACCUUGCUGGGAUGCCGGCGCCGGUGCCCCCUCCCUCCAGCCAGCCGCGUAGCGGGGCUCUCACGCCGGGGACACAAAGGCGAGGCGGCCGGGCAGCGACCGGGGCCGGGCAGGCGGAUUCUUAGUGCCCGAAGUGGGAUCCCCCUGGGGCGGGCGGGAGAGAGAGAAGCCGGCGCCCGGCUGGAUGCCCACACGCCCAGCGGGAGGCGGCCGCGGCUGGACUCGGGGCAGCGGGCUAGGUCCUCCUCCUUCCCCAGCACGGUUCUCCUUCUCCCGCUGGGAGCCGGGCGCCUGAUGUUCACCGACCUUCGAGCCAAGCUCAGCCCCCCGAGAGGCCGAGACGGGGCUCUGAAAAGGAGCUACGGCGACCCGAACGAGAUGGACGCCGCAGCCGCGCACUUCAGCUUCUGCCGGAACCUCCUGGAGCACACGGUGUCGGCCGAAAACCUCAACUACCGUCUGCAGCGGAACACGGGCAGCAGCCUCACCUGGCACGACGGGCGGAGUCAGAGGUCAGCAGGAGGCAGGACCGUCAAGCUCCUACAGCAGCCGGGAACCGAAGGCUCACAGAGUCGUCCCUGUGAUCACUAUGGCAUUUACCAUACCAGCCCCACGCUAGGCAGCCUUACCAAGCCGGUGGUGUUAUGGACCCAACAGGAUGUGUGCAGAUGGCUAAAGAAACACUGUCCCCAUAACUAUCUCAUCUAUGUGGAGGCCUUUUCCCAUCACGCUAUCACAGGUCGGGCACUGUUGCGGCUGAACGCAGAGAAGCUGCAGCGUAUGGGCAUUAUUCACGAGUCUCAGCGGCAGGAGGUCCUCCAGCAAGUCCUGCAACUCCAGGUGCGGGAGGAGGUCCGGAACCUACAGCUGCUCAGCCAAGACCCAAGCCACAGCCGGGGACCCUCCAUGGUGCCUUAGCCUGCUCUCCCAGGAUUUCUCAAGGCUCAAGCCCAAAAUGAGGACUGCAAGGGAAUAGAGGAGGAAACUUGGAACAAUACAGGACUGAAUUCUCUGACGCUGCUUCCUUUAGGGCCAUAUUCCCGACCUUCUUUUGGAAACGUCUCCUAGCCGAGCCGUCUGUUCGGCAGAUUGUUCCAACACUGUGAACCGAGCACCUCUGGGAUGGACUGUGGACCACAGAUAUGAAAACCUGAAUCGCAUGCUUGGAAUAUAAAGAGACAGUUUCCAAACCACUCAUGGGUCUUCUCUCCCUCCCUUCUCUCUCUCUCUCUCUCGGUCUCUCUUUUAUUAAUAUUUUCCUGUGCAGAGAUCAGACAUUUUCUCCAGCAGACAUGGCUGACAAUUAGAGGCAAACUAGGAAAAUGGUCACCAGGACAUGUGACAUGCUCCCCUCUGGGAUCCAGUCAAUCACAGGGGGAAAGACCUCAAGAUGAAUGUGGUAGCUGGAGACAGUUCAUUUUAAGGUCAUUCUUAGGACUAAUGACAUGGUCAUUCUUGGGACUAAUCAAAACCAUGCACCGUGAAACCACAUGUGCCCCAAUGACAUGCUUUAACCAGGAGGGCCUCUGGGCCCAGCGGAGGCUGCAGAUGUCCCCAGACUCUGCUAGUGUCAAUGCCUCAGAGCUUACUGGGGAAGCUUUAGUUCUCUCUUCAGACUGGGCUGUCUUCCAGUGUCCUAGGAGAUAACGUUAGCAGCAGCAAAUAAGAUGACUGGACAAGCCAGAAAAACUAACGGCAGAGCCAAACCCCCGGAGAUUGGCUUCGCUUUGUGAAUUAAAGAGCUGAGUCACUGAAGCCAGAACGCUUACCCAUAAAAGAGAACAUGCAGGAUCCACACACUCGAUAAGGUCACUGUGACCUCUGAGAAGCAGCACCAGGAAACAUUCAUUGGGCUGGCCUUGUCCUCAUUUAUGGGAAUAUGGAGGAACCCUGAUUAGUUGGUCUGCUUUGGCUCCACCCACCUCUGUGACUGGUUUCUGCACUGCCGAUGCAGUCAGAGCCGAGGGAGAACAGGCAGUCCUCUUUGUAAAGCUCAGAAAUGUUGGCUGAGGGAAACUAUGCCGUGGCCAAAGGCCUUGCCUGACUGUCAGCCUACAAAACGGCAAGCUCCUAACAGUUCAUGAAGCUCACACUGGCUGUAUUUAUAAUGCGGUGGAGCCUCCGGGGUAGUUUGGUGCAACAGGAUGUGGUGGCAGGACUGGGCAGGAGACUGGCUUAAGGGCUGAGAAUCAAGAGUUCUUUGAUGCAAUAUUCCAUUGCUUUUGUGUCCUCUCAUACCCUUCAUCUAGAGAACUCCUUAUAAAACCUCCAUGUUUGUUUAUAUUUUUUUCCCCUGGUUCAUUUGCAUUUCGAGCUUUCACCCAGGGUUCUGUUCUGAAUUCUGAUUCUCCACCGCACACAAUAAUCCAGGUCUGAAGCCUGAACUGCUAUCCAGGAGCAUCCUGGCAUUGCUGCUGCUUGCCCUGGCUCAUGAAAUGCAGGCGCCUUUCUGGCCUCCGUGACAUGAUUAGUACCAGCAGCACUCCUUUACCAUCACAUCUGGCCCCCUCCUUGGACACCCCACCCUGGUAAGGCAGGCAUUGCUUCUGCAACAGUUGGCUGAUAUAUCACAUUUCACAAACUAGCAGGCAGGUAAGAAACUGUGAAACAAACCCUGGAAUUUUCAUCUGCGGGGUCUCUCUCUGGUAUGUCUCAGACUUUCCAUUCUUUUGUAACUUUCGGUGAAUAGGGCAAACCUAUGCACCCAGAAAGCAGUCAGAAGUGUCAUCAGUCCUAAGUAUCUGGGCCCAGGGCUUCUCCACCCACAUUUGCUGUACACCCUCAAAUUUCUCAGGCCAGAAACAAAAACCAAACAAGGCUCGUCUUAUCUGCCCAUUGUCUUAUCUAGAGCUGGGCAAACUAUUUGCAGUGAAAAAUUUAUCCUAUGAAUCUAGCUGUUUUUUCGGUUAACAAAGGAAUAGGCUUUGCUUUUUUGUAUGGAUUUUCCCAUUAUUUGAUAUUACUCAGCAGGUGAUUUUGUAAACAUUUCAGGUUACGCAGAGCAAGAACCAAUAGUUGGAAGCAGAAGGUAGAUAAAAUUAAAACUGGAAACAAAAUGAAAAAUGUUAAUAGCAAGGGUAAUUGACUUCUGAAAUGGCUUACCAAGGGCUGUGGUAAGUUCUCUGUCUUUUGAAGUAUUUAAAUCAGAAUUGGAUGCCUUUCUAAACAAGAUGCUCUAGUUUAAGCACAAGUUAUUAAACUAGAUGGGUGAAAUAUUGUGGUCUGUGUUAUGCAAGAGGGCAGACUGGAUGACUGUACUAUAAUAGCCUCUUCUAGUCUUCAAACAUAUGAAUCAGUCAGAAACAAUUACUUUGAGUAUUCACAUAGCAAUAUCUGUGUGAUUAGUCACUUAAGUCACAUGGUAUUCUUGCUGCAUCCUGAUUGGAUGACUCAUGAGCAGGUAUCCUAGUUUUUGGUGAUUGAAAAACAAAACAAAAUUCUCUGAUGAAAAAAACCAUAAAAAUCCACAUUUUUCUGCGAUUAAAAUGAAAAGUUGAACUUUAGUUUCCCUAGCCACAAUAUAUAGAGCUAUCAGUUAAACACAAUAUUUUAUUGAUAUAUUUACAAUUUUUAAGCCGACAGGGCCGGGCCCUGCCCAUUCUCCUGAUUAUCUGAAUUUUUGAUUAUCCGGUCUGGCUCCUGUUCCAAUUAGAUGAGAUAAUCGGGGUUCCACUGUUUAUGUUUUUAUUUGUUCACAAAAUAUAAAAACUAAAGAUUCUCUGUAAAAAUGCAAAUUCCACAUUUUUCCAUGGCAGAUGGUUUUCUAGUUUCCCUGCUCAUGCGUAGCUUUCAAGCUGGUUGCGUGAACUCUCCUGAUCCAAAUGCUACGGAAAGUACUCCUUCAUAGGCGUAUCCACAAUUACUCUUUCCAUGAACAUCCUUGGGAAUGAAAUAGGCUUGCACACAUCAUCCCACAAAGGGCUAAAAUAAGGUGUGAGUACCUUCAAAGGAAAUUUGUGGGAUUUAUACCUAGAUAUCGCUUAUGCCUCAUUCACCCAGCUCUGGCCCUGUCUCUGUGCAAAGCAAAUGGACUUGCACUUGAGCCCUGUUGACUCAAUGCAAUCAGAGUUUGCUAAGAGGCUAUUUUUUCUUUUAAACAGCCCAGCACAAAAUACUCAGAACGUCUGCAGCUUAAAAAUAGACUGGACCAGCCUGUUGAGUCUGUAGUGAUGCAGAGGGCACCUGUAUAGAUGACAUCCAGAAAAGCAGCACACUUCAGAAGUGUCACGCGGAGGGAGAUGCAGGCGGGAGGGACUUACAACUGUCUCAGAGUGCCCCGUGUGAUGGGCAGGGGUGGCUGUGGGCAUCUCAAAAGAAAGACUUGUCCUUUUAAUUUUUGACUGUUUAAAAUCCAAAACAAUUCCACAGAAAUGCUACAGAAAGGAGAAUCAAGGAGCCUGUAAUCUUUGCCCCUGUGGGAGUGUGGGGUUUAUGUUUGCUCAUAGUUUAACAGUUCAGUACAGCUAACAACACAUGGGAAAUGAAAGGCCGCCAACUUGAGUGGAAGCUGCAUUUCCAAAGUUAAUGUGUUGUGGUAAGCAGAGUAGGAGAACCCAGUGCUGCACCCACUGAUUAACACAUCCAACAGUGCGGGCUGCUAGUUGGCAGGGAGCUGGCACGGACAUGAUCCCCUGAGUGUCACUAAAGAGGAGAAUGUGAUGCAUUGAAAACUGUGUUAAAAUUAUAAACAAUCACUCUAAAUUCUGAGGGGGCUUCUUGGUCUUGCUUGCAGGCUAGGGGGCUCUGUAGGGAAGCGUGUGAUCUGGAUCUUCACUCUUCAGAGUCAGUCUGCAAAGAGCCAGGCUAAAGCAAGAUGGGUUGAGUUGUGCCUUGCCAUAGGGAGCAGCCUGCUUUGUCUCUUUCUGCUUUUGGUUCUUAGAAUAUCAUAGAAUAUCAGGGUUGGAAGGGACCUCAGGAGGUCAUCUAGUCCAAUCCUCUGCUCAAAGCAGGACCAAUCCCAUAAGAACAUAAGAAUGGCCUUACUGGGUCAGACCAAAGGUCCAUCCAGCCCAGUAUCCUGUCUGCUGACAGUGGCCAAUGCCAGGUGCCCCAGGGGGAGUGAACCUAACAGGUAAUGAUCAAGUGAUCUCUCUCCUGCCAUCCUUCUCCACUCUCUGACAAACAGAGGCUAGGGACACCAUUCCUUACCCAUCCUGACUAAUAGCCAUUAAUGGACUUAACCUCCAUGAAUCCCCAUCUAAAUUAUCCCAGCCAGGGCUUUGUCAAGCCUGAUCUUAAAAACCUCUAAGGAAGGAGAUUCCACCACCUCCCUAGGUAACCCAUUCCAGUGCUUCACCACCCUCCUAGUGAAAAAGUUUUUCCUAAUAUCCACCCUAAACAUCCCCCACUGCAACUUGAGACCAUUACUUUUGUGUGUUAGGUUCUAAAUAAAGUAGUGUUCCAGCAAGAGUAUAUUAUGUUUUUUAUCUAAUUUCUCUCUGUGUAUGUUAUGAACAUAACAGAGACCAUUUAAGUGUCACUGGAAGGGAGCUGGAGAGUCUCAUGUGUAAGGAAUUGGAAAAAUUAAACCAGGUUUUGAUGUUUUAGCCCAAUAUGGUGCCUACACCGCAGAGGUGCACCCUGCAAGCCAUCACAGCACUGCAGCUGGCAAUAUCAAGGGUAUCACAGAGGUGCAGCUUGCAGCUGAGAAUGUGUGCAAAUACCCAACACCCAUCUGCCACUCCUGCACUCUCCCCAGAGCAGAAAGAUCACUGCAGACUAUAGCAUUGCAACAGCUGGGCAAAUACUGCAAUUUUAGUUUCCGCUUGUUAAAAUGUUUAAAUGAAUUUGCUUUGGCUGCAUGUGCCCCUUUUGUGUCUGCUCCCCGUGGAUAGUCUAGCAAAUGAGUUUACUGGCAGGAAUGUUUGGGAAUUUCAGCAAAAUGUUGUUGAUUAUUCAGAGAUCAUGAGUUUCAGACUCCUAUUUACACCAGAAACUUGACCUUUCAUUUAUCCAGUCAGGGACCAGAAACAUACCAUGUGACCUGUGCCCAAUCAAAACCACUCGAUCACUAGUACUCUCUGUUAACUGCUCAGGGGGCGCUAGAGACAAAGAAUUAUUAGUGGAAAUUCAGUGACUAAUUCUGAUUAACAAAUAAGCUUGGGAAAAUCACAAUCUGUUUGUGGACAAUUUGCAAUGAGAAAAAGAUGUGGAAUUAAUUAUUUGUUAUGAAUUAUUUGCCCAGUCCUAGUAACGACUGUGAUCACUUACAGAGCUAGUGUUUUGCACUCACUGAAGUCAAUGAUAAAGCUCCCAUUGACUCACUCUGGUUUCUCUUCAGAUCGUAUAAAUCUUUAGAGGUGCAGUAUCAGGGCCUGUGAACAUGGAGGUCUAGCAGUGUGGUGUGUUUGAAGUCCCCAUUACUCCAUACCUACUAGCCAUCGGUCAGAAAGGGGACUAACCCAGUGAUGGGUCCGGUAGGAGUGAGGCACAUUAAUGUCCCCAAAAUCCCAGCCAAUUUUCAGUUUUACAUCUAUGUGCCAUAGAAUCCACCUUUUCCCCCCUGCGGCUGGGGGAAAAUCCAUUCCUCACAAUGCAAUGAAGCCAUGAAAAGUGGACUGCUUUGUAUGCUCAUAGUCAUUCUAUGAAUGUUCACCAAACCUCUUGCAAUGUGCAGCAAGGAGCAAUCCUGUGUUGGCCAGCAGAUGGAUUAGACGAUCCGACAGCUCCUUUACAACCUCUAAUUUCUGUGACGCUCUGCAGGGCUGUUAAAGAGGAACGCCAGUCAAAGGGCCUGAUUCUCUUCUCACACUGGUGUAAAUCAGGAAUAGCUCCAUUGCAGCCCAAUGGAAAGUGCUCAGAUACUAUGGUGAUGGGCAGCAAUAUAAAACCUUCAGAUAAGUUCCAUGAGAGGAAAAUUGGGCCCUGACCCUACCCUACUGAACAGGUGAGCUCCCUCCAAAAAGACAUGGAAGAUCUCCAAGCCCUGCAUCUUCCCUGAGGCCUUCAGCAUGUGAACAGUCAGAUCUGUCUGUGCUUCUGCGUCUCUUUGCGUCAGUCACGGCACUGCUGCCCUGCGCAAGGCCAAGCGGAGGAUGAAGGGUCUUGUGGAGGGAAAGGGCUUGGAAGCUGUAAGCUCUUUGGGGAUAUUGUCCAUGCAAUUUUAAUCAAAACGUAGUAUUUUUAUGUUAAUUUGUUAAUUCUGUUCUAUUCUUGGCUAACCCCAGCUCAAGUACAUUGGCCGGCCUGCCUGGCAGGAAAUGGACUGAGGCUUGGGACUUGGGAUUUUGACAGGAACUCAUGUGUGUGUGUGGGUGGGGAGAGGGCUGCAGGGGUUGAUUAGGAUCAAGAAGGGAAGCUGUGUGGGGCCGGGAUGUGUGUCUCUAGUCGGAAGUACUGCAGGCCCCAGGCUCUUAUUAAUAAUGCACAGAGCAGGAUGGCUGGAGCUUCUUGCAGGUCCCAGGCUGAUUUGCUUCAAUUGCCUGGUUUACUUAGUCAUAUUAAUAUUAGCAGCUUCAACAGAAUCUUUGUGGGGGGCUCGGCCCCCUCUCGGCCCCCCACAGCCACCUGCCGCUGUCUCAGGUCAUCCUCGGGGGACGGCAGCCCCCCCAGAGCAGCCGAUGACUGCCAUGGCUUAGAGAUCCAGUACAGGGCAUUUUGGUCUCCGCAGUGGACUCCGUACCCCUGCAGCUCAGGACGGAAAAUCUGAGCAUGGAAGCUGGGUGCCACUGCUGAGUCACAGCGCCCAGGCAUUCAAAGCCCAGAAUGGGGAACCGGGCUCCAGCAAGGACUCGGGGUGCAGGGGGUGCUCAGUGACCAUAGUAAGGGCUCUCCUGGGUCAGCUGGCUGAGAGCCCACAUUCGUGGUGUCAGCUGAGAUCUAGCAAUGCUCCUCAGCACAGUGCAGGUAAAAUGGCCAAUGAGCUGUUGGGCCAGAGGGGCUCCCCAGCUGCAUGCAUGGCCGGUCUCCUCUGCAGGCAGGUCUCUCUCUCCCUGCCUGUAUGGAAGAGAUGGAGUGACCCUUCUGGAGCACUAUAACCCCUCCCUUGCAUGCCCCUCUUGAACCCCCGUCUGCCGGAGUUGGGGGAUGGGAGCCAGGACUCCUGGGUUCUAUUCCUGAGGCUGUCACCAGCUCGCUGUGUGGCUGUGAGCCAGUCCCAUUAACUUCUCUGCACCCUUUUGUCCAGAUGGGCACUGGAGGGGUGCGUGGUGCCACUUUGGGGUUUUAGGAGAGGUGUGCCCCAUGCAGAGCAUUGGUGGUGGGGUAUGAUCAUGUUCGGUACUAAGCGAAAACCAGAAAUUUCAACAUACUGUACCAACAACUGCUCCAAAUGUUGGGCCCAAUCCUGCCCUCCGUGUGCAGCUCCAUUAACUGCACGAGGCGCGUGCAUGGCUGGCUGAGAACCCAUCUUGCUCAGGGGUCUUACAGUGCUGCCAACCAUUGCAGUUUUAUCACAAGUAUCAUGAUAGUUUGUGGGCAGGGAUGGUGUCCCUAGCCUCAGUUUGCCAGAAGCUGGGAAUGGGCAACAGGGGAUGGAUCACUUGAUGAUGACCUGUUCUGUUCAUUCCCUCUGGGGCACCUGGCAUUGGCCACUGUCAGAAGACAAGCUCCUGUGCUAAAUGGACCUUUGGUCUGACCCACUAUGGCCGUUCUUAUGCAUUUAUUUAAGUCCCUGCUCCUAGAGGCAAGUGAUGGUGUGAGAAUUCCCCUGAGUUUCUAGCCUUCAGGGUUGCCUUGAAAAUGUUGAAAAGAUGACCGGAGUGUCCCCUAAAGGUUAAAAAAGCAGAAGGCAAAUAGAAAGAUCCCAAAUUUAUGAUUUAAACAAAAUCUCAUGACUUUUAAGUUGAUCUCAUGAUGUUAGAGGGGGACAGGUUCAUGGGUGUUAAUGUCUGAGUUUGGCAAGGCUGGUAUUAGUCGUUCUGUUUCCAUCCAUCUGAAACUCUCCUCUCCCCUCCAACUCCAUGGGAGAAUCCAAGAGCUCAGCUCCCAAGCCCUGCAGAUCACUCCAUCUGCAUGGGGGCCUGGUGCCAUCCCACCUGCUCUGGGGACCCCUACGGGUUUUCCCCCGGCUCCCGGGUGGCCCUUCGUCACUGGAGCUGAGCCCCUGUGUCAGGCAGCCCAGGGAACCCCUCGGGGUUGGGUGCACAGACCAAGCUGUGCCGCUCAGGCCCAACUCUAGCAUUCUGCUUUAGGGUGGGAGGAGGCAAGACCCUGCCCAAGUCUAAUCCCCUAAUUGCUAAUGGCUGGACCAUGGGUGCACGCGGCGCAGAGACUAGGGUGUUCCAGACUGCAGGGAUCUUUUCUCCAGGUGGAUCUGGCUCUCCCCAGCUCCCACCCUUUUAUGCUCUUACCCACAUUGUCCUCAAGGCCUGGCACAUAACCACACGCUGUCCAAAUAAGACAGGGUCCUUCCAGGGUAUGUCUGCACCGCAGACAUCUCUGGAACCAGCGCUUGUGGACUCAGUGUUUCCAAGCCCGUGCUUGAGCAUCCUCACUGCAUGGUAAACUUGGGCUUACAAUUGCUGGACCUGCGGGUCACAGCCGUGCCAAUGCAUCCGUAUGGCGCUACGCAGACCUCGGACUCAGGUCUUGGGCUUGUGCUGCAUCCACACUGCAAAAUGAUUGGACCUGGACGUGAGUCACGAUGGGACUCAAGCUCUGACCCACCCCCUGAGCAGGGUGGUAGGCUCCGGGUCCUAGGUUCUUGCUGACCCAAGUCGGACUCAGGGGGCCUGGGCCUGGCCCUGGGUCACAGCCCAGGUGUCGUGUGCAGUGUAGACAUACGGUUCCUUCAUGCUUCCCAGCCCCUCACUCUUCUGCAGAGGCCACUAAGCGCAUCCCUCUCAGAAAGGGGUUCGGCAGAGCUCCCAGCCCCAGCACCCAGUGACUGGAUGGUACGCUGGGCUUGCUCACCUCCCGGUGACGUGCAGCGCCCUGGGAACACCAGCCUGGCUAGCCAGCCAUGAAGAAAUGCUUCUAAUUAGCUCUCCGGCAAUCCUUGCACAGCACCUUCGUCUUCCACAAUAACUAUCCAUUUCAAGCGUCCACAGUGGUUUCCCUAAGUUGUCUCCCCUAAAUCUCCCUAGGAUUCCAUAUCAGCAAUAGGGCAGCUUAAGAGAGGACAGCAGAGCCCCCUGGGAGGCUAGCCACCUUCAUUAAUCGGCCUUGUCGCGCAUGCCACCAAGAAGGGGGAUUAGAUCUGCACAGGGGGCUCUCCCAGGCACCCAGAUCCUGUUACGCUCGCCAACAGCUUUGCUACAUGCUUUUCUGGCGCGGGCCAGUUUGGUUCUUCCAACGUGGUGUUUUAAUGAGGACACCGGUUUUGCAAGAGUCACUGAGUCCUGCAGGACUUUUGAAGGAAAGCUGUGUCCUUUGGUGUGAUUGGCCAGCAAAAGGCUUUUACCCAAGUCUAACCGCAUUUUCCUCUUCCUCAUCAGUGUCUGGUCUAUCAGGAGGAAGAGGCAGAAGUCAAGGAGUCAACGGCACUGGCAGCAAAGGGCCAAAACCCCAGUGCUUCUGCAGUAAGUUGUGCCAAGUGUGGCACCUCCCAGCCUGCUACGGUAUUUCAAACUAGACAAGGGAACUAACUGCCCAUCCCUGCACCCAUGGAAGUCACUGGGGAGUUCUGCCAUUGACUUCCAAGGGAGAUGGGGCAUAUCCUAAAAGAAUAAAAGUUACGGGGAGACCUCUUGGGCUUUCCUAUUUGAAUGCCAUUUCCCACUCUGUAAGUGAAUGGAGGAGGCCUCCUGCUGCAGUUUGAGUCCAACAUCACAGGGACAAGAGAGGUUCACACUGAGAGAGCCAGAUGUAGGGAGUGCAUCUCUCAUGUGACCUUUGUCCUGCCGCAUGGCCCUACUCUUGCUGUCUCCUAAGCAAUGCUGCACGUGAUGUAAUGGCAAUCAUGGUCUUGGCUGAAUGUACUUAAGAGAAUGUGAUGAGAAGCAAGGUGUCUGCGAGUUUUCUCUCUUGCUUUGUGGUACCCAAUCCUUUUCCUGGGCUUUGAAUGUUGUGUGUAGGGUUUGUUAAUUUGGUUUUGGUUUCAGCAGGGUGUUGGAUUAAGAGUUGGACAAUAGCUGGAAUGCUUCUUUUUAUACCUGACACAGAGAUCAGGAAUAAAAACUGGUUCUUACAUUGAA